GAUGAACGCUGGCGGCAUGCUUUACACAUGCAAGUCGGACGGGAAGUGGUGUUUCCCGUGGCGGACGGGUGAGUAACGCGUAAGAACCUGCCCUUGGGAGGGGAACAACAGCUGGAAACGGCUGCUAAUACCCCGUAGGCUGAGGAGCGAAAGGAGGAAUCCGCCCAAGGAGGGGCUCGCGUCUGAUUAACUAGUUGGUGAGGUAAUAGCUUACCAAGGCCGUGAUCAGUAGCUGGUCCGAGAGGAUGAUCAGCCACACUGGGACUGAGACAAGGCCCAGACUCCUACGGGAGGCAGCAGUGGGGAAUGUUCCGCAAUGGGCGAAAGCCUGACGGAGCAAUGCCGCGUGGAGGUAAAAGGCCUACGGGUCAUGAACUUCUUUUCCUGGAGAAGAAACAAUGACGGUAGCUGGGGAAUAAGCAUCGGCUAACUCUGUG
rnacentral:rRNA from 1 species